UGUCCCUGACCUAGGUAGAUUGGCAUAUGGUUGGUGGCGCCCAUCUCAUAUCAGCCAGGGACAAAGCAACUCCGUGUUCGUCCAAGCUGAGCUUUUGGUCUGUGCCCGUGCCUGGUUCAUGCUUUGGAUAUAUGG
rnacentral:snoRNA from 1 species